rnacentral:rRNA from 1 species
GCUGGCGGCACGCCUAACACAUGCAAGUCGAACGAAGUAGCAAUACUUAGUGGCAGACGGGUGAGUAACAUGUGGGUAUCUGCCCUUUGGCCUGGAAUAACACGAGGAAACUUGUGCUAAUACCGGAUAAGUCUUUACGGAGAAAGCUUUAUGCACCAUUGGAUGAGCCCGCACUUGAUUAGUUUGUUGGUGGGGUAAUGGCCUACCAAGACUGUGAUCAAUAGCUGAUUUGAGAGGAUGAUCAGCCACAUUGGGACUGAGACACGGCCCAAACUCCUACGGGAGGCAGCAGUGGGGAAUCUUGCACAAUGGAGGAAACUCUGAUGCAGCGAUGCCGCGUGAGUGAAGAAGGCCCUUGGGUUGUAAAGCUCUUUCGUCGGGGAAGAAAAUGACUGUACCCGAAUAAGAAGGUCCGGCUAACUUCGUGCCAGCAGCCGCGGUAAUACGAAGGGACCUAGCGUAGUUCGGAAUUACUGGGCUUAAAGAGUUCGUAGGUGGUUGAAAAAGUUAGUGGUGAAAUCCCAGAGCUUAACUCUGGAACUGCCAUUAAAACUUUUCAGCUAGAGUAUGAUAGAGGAAAGCAGAAUUUCUAGUGUAGAGGUGAAAUUCGUAGAUAUUAGAAAGAAUACCAAUUGCGAAGGCAGCUUUCUGGAUCAUUACUGACACUGAGGAA